rnacentral:rRNA from 1 species
GACAGAGGGUGCAAACGUUGUUCGGAUUUACUGGGCGUAAAGCGUGUGUAGGCGGCUUGGCAAGUUGGAUGUGAAAGCCCACGGCUCAACCGUGGAAGCGCACCCAAAACUGCUCCGCUCGAGUCUCGGAGAGGAAGGUGGAAUGCUUGGUGUAGAGGUGAAAUUCGUAGAUAUCAAGCAGAACACCUGCGGCGAAGGCGGCCUUCUGGACGAUGACUGACGCUGAGACACGAAAGCGUGGGGAGCAAACAGG